rnacentral:lncRNA from 1 species
AAUAAAAAAUUAGAAAAGUGUAGGAUAGCGUAAAAAAAAAGGCAUAACCAUCUCUUUUGCUACUGACAAAAAAAAAGCAAAAACAAAAAAAAAAUAAGAUGCUUAAAUGUGACCUUCCUACUAUACUUAACUCAAAACAAAAGCAAACGUUUCAAAUUCAAAAGCGAUUUGCCUAUUACCGAUUCCACAAAAGAGUCGGGAAAGGGUCAUGGAAUAAAUACGUAGAAAGGUACAAACUGCCAAGAAGCAUAGAAAAUACACAGAGGUUAAUAUUUAAUUAUGAAGGUACGUAUUCAGAAAAAAAAUUAUCAUGUAGUUGGCAUUGGUUAUUACCUAAAAAGUUGGCAGAAGCUACAACAUCAGAUGGAGUAUUAAAUGUAUGGGUAUAUUAUAGGCAUAAAAAAAAAAAAGCUUACCAUUAUAUGAAAGUUUUAAAACGAUUAGUAGAUGUAGGAGCAUGUUCUACUACCGACUGGAGAUUCAAAUUAAUUACAUCUAGAAUACAAAAUAAAAUAAAUACAUUUUUGAAUUUACCAAGAAUAUGUUUUUAUUAUGGUAAAUUAAAAGCAACAGCACAAUUAGAAACUAUAACAAAAAUAUUAAUUAAUAAGUUAAAUAUGUACUUACCUAACCAAUUGUUACUCAUAUUAAAGGGGUAUGCUUUAUGCAAAUUGCAAGAUAAGUAUAUGUUUAAUAGUGUAAGAGAUAAAUUACGUACGCAUAUUCAUGGUUUUACAAUUAAUCAAUUAAUUUUAAUUAUCGAAAGUUAUGCAGCAUGCUUAAUACAUGAUUAUUUAUUUAUGAAUAUCUUGGCUAAUGAAGUUAUACACAGACUUAAUUUAUGUAAUAGUAACUACAGUCAUGUAUUAAUUGAUGAAUCGAGGUAUGGUGAUUUUAUUAAUGAAAGAAAUGGGAUAUCCGAUGACUUUAUUGAAGAGCAUGACAAUAACUUCAUCCCAAAUGGAGAAGGUAAUAAUGACAACAUUAAUGAUGAUACCAAUGUGAUGUUAUCAAAUAUACAAAAAAACGAACAGAAUUUUUUACAAUUCAAACAAGAUCAAUUAAAUUACUACCCUACUAUGAAACAUCUGACUGAUGUAGCUUAUUUUUUUUCAAAAUUAAAAUUUUUAAAUUAUGUAUUUUUUGAUUAUAUAAGCAUAUAUCUUAUCAAUUUUUUACAAAAUGAAAAGAAUUUGUUAACACCAUACAUAAUUGAAAAAGCAGUUAUAUCCUUUUGUGUAUUAAAAAUUAAUGAUAUAAAACUCUUUGAGUAUAUAUUAACACAU